CCAUGAUCGAGUGCUGAUUGCAGAUGGACCAAAUUUUAUCUCCAGAGAACCUCAGUUCAAGGUGACGGUGAGAUGCUUCUAUCCUCUGAGUGCAGUCAACAGCGUAUCUAUGAACCGGAUCUUCACCUCGGCAACUCCUGGAUUUGGAUCCGUGAGAGUCUUUGAGAGCCACAAAGAUUCGGUCAACAAACCCUGCUCACAUCGGUAUUUUGAGAAUGAUCCUAAACUUCACCCAAACCCAGCUGCAGGGGGACCCCUACCUCAUUUGGGCCUCGGGCCUCGAACCAAACCAGGACGGAGCCAUUUUAUCACAAUACCAGGACAAAAAAAGGAGCUACAGUUCACCACAAAGCAGGAUCGGUCCUCGGAACAUCAAACCAGCCAAGUUCCUCAAUUUUACCAGAUGCCUGAUGGUGGGAUACAAUGGGUGCCUCGCACCACACAAAGCCAGCACGUUGAAGAGGGAUGGGAAAGUUUAAGACCAACCUUGG